GGAAUGUGAAGGGAAGAGAAGAUGGUAAAAUGAAAGUGUAUUUCAGAAAGAAAGGACAAAAUGUACAGGAGGUUGGAACAUAUACUAUUACAUGCAACUUUGGGGAAAUUUGUACAGUAACUGAUAUCAGCCAGUCAGCAAUCAACCAGCAAAGAAGAGGUCCAAGUUUAUAAGCAGCUUCUGACUGAGGGCGAUCUGUGUCUGUAAUCACAAUUUUUGUAACUGGGAGA